CAACUACUCCCUCCGUUCCAAAUUACUCGUCGCAGAAAUGGAUGUAUCUAGAACUAAAAUACAUCUAGAUACAUCCAUAUCUGCGACAAGUAAUUUGGAACGGAGGGAGUACCAU
rfam:Triticum aestivum genome assembly, contig: Triticum_aestivum_CS42_TGACv1_scaffold_193608_3AL